AUGUUGUUCCUAUUUUUAAAACAAUGGUCUCCUUGGCAACUGUGUUUAACUCACAGGAUUUGUUCUGCUCCAGCUAGCCAGAGCAACUUAAAAGAAACAAACACCUUGAAACAGAACAAGGCUUAUAAUUGGUCCCACAGCCUCCAUGAAAUGAAUCUGGGCAAGUCAAGCUUAAUGGACAAUAGGGGGCAAGGAAAAGAUGUAUGA
rnacentral:lncRNA from 1 species